rnacentral:tRNA from 1 species
UGCGAGUUAGUGUAAUAGUAGCAUAUUUGGCUCAUGAUCAAAUGGUUUAGGUGCAAGUCCUAAGUUCGCAA